AGGGUAGAGGCGCGAAAAUUAUGAGUCGUACUGAGGAGGUUUCAGGAAAUCGUAGAAACAGUAUAAAAGGAAUUUUCGCCGAAGUCUGUUUUUCUCCUGCGAAAACAGGCUGGGGCUGUAUCGAACAGGUACAGGACUGUCAGCAGCUGUAGCCUAAGCAGUUGUUGUUGUGCUA
rnacentral:ncRNA from 1 species